UGCCAACGGUCAAGAAAUAAUCCUUGCCAGGAUCGUUGGUUAGAAUCACAUGUGACAACCGGUGCGUGAUCCUGUCAUCCGCAUGGCACCAGCCCUGGAGCUGUUUAAUCACAGGCGACUGUCAUAAUUUGGUUCCAAGUCACGGGUUUUGGAGCUCUUCAGGGGUCCUUCACAAGGUUCCAAUUCCAGGGACCCUCAGCAAAAUAAGAGAUUUAUUGUCAUCACUAUCAGAGUAGGCGAUAAGCUACUGGUAUGGCUUGUGUUUGAGGCUCCAUCAUAACAAGAAGCACAAGUCACUACCCACACAUCCCCUUGUUUCAUCUCAUCUACGUCUGCUGUUACGCUGACUGAAUGGACUGUUUCUCCUCAAGAUAGAUCAAUGCCCCUUAUUGUUUAAUG